GAUGAACGCUAGCGGCAGGCUUAACACAUGCAAGUCGAGGGGCAGCAAGGGUAGCAAUACCUGUUGGCGACCGGCAAACGGGUGCGGAACACGUACACAACAUACCUUUUACUGGAGCAUAGCCCGUUGAAAAGCGGAUUAACACUCCAUAAUAUAGCAGAGUGGCAUCACUUAGUUAUUAAAAAUUUAUUGGUAAGAGAUUGGUGUGCGUCCUAUUAGCUAGUUGGUAGGGAACGGCCUACCAAGGCGACGAUAGGUAGCUGGUGUGAGAGCACGACCAGCCACACGGGCACUGAGACACGGGCCCGACUCCUACGGGAGGCAGCAGUGAGGAAUAUUGGUCAAUGGACGAGAGUCUGAACCAGCCAUGCCGCGUGAAGGAUGAAGG
rnacentral:rRNA from 1 species